rnacentral:lncRNA from 1 species
UCACAAUAAAUGACUCAAAACUUCAUCUUUCAAUAAGCCCAUUUUUCUUUUUCUUUUUCUUUUUUUUUUCUAUCUUAAAGCAUGAAUCAUAAAACAAAUUUUCAUAUAGAAAAGUAAAGAAUAAGCUGAGUAGAGCAUUGAUAAUGGCCCAGCUGUGAGGCCAGCAUCAUCUUUUGGUGGUGAAGGAACCAAAGCAAGCUUAUAUAUAACGCCAAAGCCAACUCCAAGGCCCUAAGCUUUUGUGGGGUCUGCAUAUAUCACAACCCAUAAGGACAGAGAAGAUGUGGUCAUUGAAAUUGAAGAAGGUGGUGAAGCCAUGGAGGCUGUCAGCAUUUUCAUGGAAGAAGAUGAGUAUUGUUCAUGAUUUGGUGUUCAAGAUCCUCUAUGUGUUGGAAGCCAUUGUACUUGUCUCCACUCUCUGCUUCUUCUUCCUCUGCUGUGGCUGCCAUAUCUGAACUUCAUGUUCUUUUUAUUUGAAUUUAUUAUUAAUUUGUUCAUUCUUUCAAAAAAAAAAAAAAACAGAGGCUUUACCCAAAUGGGUGAUGUUUGUUUUUGUAGUGUAGGUGCUCAAUUUCAACAUUGAUGUAAUUGGUUGAAUCAGAAUUUUUUUUUUUUAUGUGCCUUGUAUUGCCCAUGUAAUAUGUUAGUCUAUUUUCUAUUAAGAACCAUGAUAUAAAAUUAUUUUUUUGGGUAAAAAUACUGAAAUAUUGGCGGUAUUUUCGGCGAUUUUUUGAAAUCCUCCUCCGGCUGCUCACGCAUCAGCUCCACUCGCGAUUUAUCGCCGAUUUAUCAGUUUAUUUCGGUUUUAAACCGAUGUUUCGCCUAUUUUGCCGAUGUUGAAUUUCGUUUAAUAUCCAAUAUAUUGACGAAAUAUUGCCCAUAAAAUCCGGAUUUUCAAUAAAACUACAAAUUAUUUUUUAU